AACGAACGCUGGCGGCAUGCCUAACACAUGCAAGUCGAACGAGACCUUCGGGUCUAGUGGCGCACGGGUGCGUAACGCGUGGGAACCUGCCUUUAGGUUCGGAAUAACUCUCCGAAAGGGGUGCCAAUACCGAAUAAUGUCUUCGGACCAAAGAUUUAUCGCCUUGAGAUGGGCCCGCGUUGGAUUAGCUAGUUGGUGGGGUAAAGGCCUACCAAGGCGACGAUCCAUAGCUGGUCUUAGAGGAUGAUCAGCCACACUGGGACUGAGACACGGCCCAGACUCCUACGGGAGGCAGCAGUGGGGAAUAUUGGACAAUGGGCGAAAGCCUGAUCCAGCAAUGCCGCGUGAGUGAUGAAGGCCCUAGGGUUGUAAAGCUCUUUUACCCGGGAUGAUAAUGACAGUACCGGGAGAAUAAGCUCCGGCUAACUCCGUGCCAGCCGCCGCCGUAAAAC
rnacentral:rRNA from 1 species